GCCGGGAUUCCGGAGCCUGGUACCGGGCAGUCCAACUGAGCCUGUGCCCCUUUGGGGCGCGUGGGUUCGAAUCCCACUCCCGGCGCCA
rnacentral:tRNA from 1 species